GGGCGGCCGGCGGCGCCGCGCGGGGCUGCCGCGCCUCUGCCUCCUCUGCCCCUUUCGCCUCCCGUCCUCCGCCCUGCUGCUCCUCGAGCGGCUGCAGUCCCUCCCGCUGCUUCUCCUCUUCCUUUUCGGCUCCAGGCGCUGCUGGAGCGAGCGAGAGGGAAGGCGACAAUGCGAAAGAAAGCUGGAGGGAGGGCUAAGAGGGGGCAGAGAGACGGCGGAAAAUGGAGCGUAGCCCAGAGGAGGGGAUUGAAGCAACAAGCUAUUGCAAAUUAGAGUCUGAGUAGUAGCUGCAACUUGAGAAGAAUGGAACCAUAAUUCAUCUAAAUUGUGAUAUCUCCAGUAUAUGGUAUUUCUGUGCUGUCUUGAUCUUAUUUCUCACAGAAGGAAUACAUUUCGCAAACCUGAGGUGUGGUCCAGAGGAUUUUCCCACAGAGCAAACAGAGGGGAGAAAAAACACCAAACCCGUAAGAGGCUAAAGCAGAAUAGUUUCUAUACCAUAAGGAUAUAAGAUGCCCCUGAAGCUGUGACAUAUAAAUCAAAGAGAGGAGCUCUAAGAAGGACAUCAUUUAAGCUGCUGGAAUGCUUUAUGAGAUAUGAAACGCUGCUGUAGAAUUCAAGGUAGCUAGUAUUUGGAUACUCAUAUCUAGAAAGUCUUCACAAUGAGGUUUUGUGUGUACAAAACAUGCUAGUGAACUGACAGCGUAUCCAGAUUUAGGAAGGUGCAAAAAAAGUAUUGAUAUAGUUUAUGGCUCCAAGAUAGGAACCUUAAAACAAAGAAAACUCAUGUUCUAAGGGAUUCUAGUUGAGUACUUGGAAAUGAUAGGGUUCUAGCUGCCAUUGCACUUACUGGCCUAUCCCCGUUUUGGUGAUAUCCCUUAUCCCUUUUCAAGCCUCCUUUUUUACACUAGGCUCUUCUCUCUAGUAUCUCUCAGUUCUGUUAACAGGAUUAGUUUUUCCCAUUCAGGAAGAACGGUUGCCAGUUGAGAGCAAAAUUAUGAAGAUAGAAGCUUUAAUCUGACCUUUUAAAAUGAAGGAAAAACUCCAUUCUCCACAAUCCACCUGAAAACAUGAAGUUCCAGUUGAACUGAUGGAAUUAUGACACAGCUUGAUGACCAAACAAAUUCUGUACAAUUGAUGAGCUUGAUUUUUUAUUUUAAUUUUUUAGAAUAUGUUUUUUAGCAUAUGCUUUCCUGAUGGAUAUCAAUAGGAAGUACACUUCUGACCAUUUUCAUAGUCCCUAAAUCUGGCUAGGAAUCCUUUAUCUGUAAAGGAUUAUGCCUUUUCAGGAUGCCUGAAAAGGAUGCCUUUUCAGUCUUGGGAGUAAAGAAAGAUAUGCAGGUUUCAGAAGGGGAAACUCUUAUUCAGAAACAUCUGGAAAUUAUUGUUUCAGCAUCUGAGGUCUUGUGUGGUGUACAACACAGCAGGUACAAUUACGUAGAAGACUUUUGCUGUAGUCUAGGUAGGAUUGUGUGGCUGAUGGUGCUAAAUGAAACGAGGGUUAACAACCACAGUGCUGAGUGGGGAACUGGACAAGAAAGACUCUUGGUUUCUUUUCCGAAGGAUACAAAUAGGUACACUUGGUACUUUAUGUUCUUAAGACCAGACAUGAAACAAAAAAAGUGAACCAAAUACAUUAUUAGUAUCUGAGAAAGGCAAAAAGUUGGCUUGUUACUCUCUCCAAUGCAGUAAACAGAUACUUUUUUCUCCCCCUAAUCUCUCCUUGGACACUUCAGUGUCCUUUCAAUCCAGUGCUGCUUUAGCUCAGCUGUUACAGCUUUGUGGCUUUCACAAAGGCGUGUUCAUCUCAUUCAAGCUCCUUUUACUUGUUUGGCACACAAAAAUAAAGAAGAGACAUAGAUUCAAUUCCCAUGACUAGGCCAAUACACAGGAGGAACUUAAAAUAGCAUUCAGCUAAUUAAACAACAACAACAACAUAACCAAACCCUAACAAACAGUAAAGCAGAAUUUACCAGAAUAAGAAUUUCCUGUAUUACAGUGAGAUGCUCUCUCAGACAAUCCUGUGUGUUUACCUAAAUACUAAAAAGGUAGUGCUAAAAUUGUCAUGAGAAAUGCAGAUCCCGCUAAUUUGCUCUGAACAGAAAUGUAGUCAAAAAUAGUCUACUAAUUAAGAUUUGUCUAAUGAUCUGGAUGCAAAAAAAACCCAAAAAACAACCCAAAACCUUCUCUUUCCUAUAUACAAUUAUUGUUAACUAAAACUGAAUUGGAACAACUGAUGUGCUAACAGUAUCUUUUAAACAGUGGUGGGACACCCCUGCUGUUUUCUUGACAGGGGGUGUGGGGAGGGAACCUUUGAAUCUGUAGUUGUACAAGUUCGGCUUGUACAAGGGAACAGCAUAAGAACAUGCAAUCCAAAAUCCAGUACAGACAAAGUUACCUAUCUUUCUGUUACCUUAAUGGGUUGUAGAUAGUAGCACAAGUUACUUGCACUUACCUUUUGCGGGACAGAGUACAAUCAUUCCAAAGUGUUGCAGCAACAGUAUGUAUAAAAAAAAAACCAAAAUCAAAUCUACUGUGAGAAGUCUACUGUAGUGUUUUAACACGAGAGUCCAAGAUACUAAAUGAAUGACAUUGUGUUUGAAUAUUUAGCUACAUUAUUAAAGAAAUUUAAAAGUAGUUUUGGUAGCAUACCAAAGUUUCUUUCUGUCCAUAUAAGCUAGACAUUUGCAAGUUAUUUCCUCCGUUAUCAUAAUAAUUAAUAGUUGAAUAAAGAAAGAAAUAGUUAUAAAUUAUUUUUAUUUUUCCUUGAUAUGCUUCAGUUUAUUAACUUGUUUGGGUAAUUUAUAUACCUGAGUUCUUAAAAACCUGUGUAAUUUUAAAUGCUGUCAUAUACAUGACCAAAACAAAAACAUUGAUGUAUAACAGAACCCAUUAAAAACAGAGAAAAACAAGAGCUGAAAAAUGCCUUCCUAACCUCAUCCUUAGUAUUAUAAUGGUUAUGAAAACACUGAGACAGAAAUUACAAAGUCACUUGGAUACCAAAAAAAGAGUAGCAUGCUCAUUGUUACUUUUCUUUCUGCAAGACAUUGAUCCUGACAAGAACUUUGUGAAUUUUCAGGACUCAGGCAUGAUUUUCCAAACAUUUGAUAGCAUGUAGAUACAUAAUUAUUUAAGAAAGAAUGGUUAUAACCCAUUAUGAUUUUGAGGUUUUAGCACUUUAUACUUGUGGUCAGGUCUAAAUACUGACAUAAAAUACAAGUCUGAGGAAACAUGCAACCUUUGAUUGGGACAUCAUGCUCAUCUGGAAAGUGUCUGUCAUUUGAACAUUAAUCAUACUCCAAUUAUGUUGUGACUCAUGAUUUACUCUAGGCAAAAGACAAGAAACAAUACUGAACAAAUUCCUGAAGAAACAAACCAAACAGGAGCUGAAACAUAAAGUAAAUAAAGCUUUU
ensembl:lncRNA